rnacentral:rRNA from 1 species
AGUGAACGCUGGCGGUAGGCCUAACACAUGCAGGUCGAACGGCAGCACAGUAAGAGCUUGCUCUUACGGGUGGCGAGUGGCGGACGGGUGAGGAAUACAUCGGAAUCUACUUUUUCGUGGGGGAUAACGUAGGGAAACUUACGCUAAUACCGCAUACGACCUACGGGUGAAAGCAGGGGAUCUUCGGACCUUGCGCGAUUGAAUGAGCCGAUGUCGUAUUAGCUAGUUGGCGGGGUAAAGGCCCACCAAGGCGACGAUCCGUAGCUGGUCUGAGAGGAUGAUCAGCCACACUGGAACUGAGACACGGUCCAGACUCCUACGGGAGGCAGCAGUGGGGAAUAUUGGACAGUGGGCGCAAGCCUGAUCCAGCCAUACCGCGUGGGUGAAGAAGGCCUUCGGGUUGUAAAGCCCUUUUGUUGGGAAAGAAAAGCAGCAGGUUAAUACCCCGCUGUUCUGACGGUACCCAAAGAAUAAGCACCGGCUAACUUCGU